UAUGCAUGUGACAAAUAAAGAACCUUGAACCUUGAACGUUAGUAAUUGCAGCUGAAACAACCUGAUGUGUCUCACUGAACUGGCUGCUACCUGUAAAUCCAUCUUCUUUGUGAAAACCGAGGAUGUUCCCUCCUUCUGAUGGGAACUAAAGUAGUUUGGGAACACGUACGACAAUAAAGGUGUCAGGCAGCCUUUAUGUGCUGCUGUGAUGUUGACUCCA